AGAGUUUGAUCAUGGCUCAGGAUGAACGCUAGCUACAGGCUUAACACAUGCAAGUCGAGGGGAAACGACAUCGAAAGCUUGCUUUUGAUGGGCGUCGACCGGCGCACGGGUGAGUAACGCGUAUCCAACCUACCCGACCACUUGGGGAUAACCUUAGCGAAAGUAAAGACUAAUACCCAAUGAUAUCUCUAGAAGACGAUCUGAAAGAGACUAAAGAUUUAUCGGUGAUGGAUGGGGAUGCGUCUGAUUAGCUUGUUGGCGGGGUAACGGCCCACCAAGGCAACGAUCAGUAGGGGUUCUGAGAGGAAGGUCCCCCCACAUUGGAACUGAGACACGGUCCAAACUCCUACGAGAGGCAGCA
rnacentral:rRNA from 1 species